rnacentral:tRNA from 1 species
GCCAGGGUAGCUCAGUUGGAUAGAGCGGCGGUUUCGUAAACCGCAGGUCAAGGGUUCAAAUCCCUUCCCUGGCU